rnacentral:rRNA from 1 species
CACACCGCCCGUCACACCAUGGGAGUCAGUUGCUCCAGAAGUGGCUACGCCAACCCGCAAGGGAGGCAGGUCCCUAAGGAGUGACUGGUAACUGGGGUG